rnacentral:lncRNA from 1 species
CGAGCUGCUUCUUUUGCAGGCAACUCUGGCGCUGUGGGUGAUUGUCCAGGUGCCCGAGUGCCACGAGGCAAUGAUCCUUUAUUCAGCCCGCCUGUUUGUGACUCUGCUCUUCCAAGUUGUCAUCACCACACAGCAGGUGCCAGAGGAAGUUGAUCACUUCUGGAGAGCAUGCCGGGAGGAACACCGCCUUCCCACCAACCCCAACAGGUUUGCAGUGCAGGCCAUGAAGGCUCUGCUCUGUCGACUGCGCUGUGACAAUGAGGUGGUGGCUAUGGAGCGCAAGCGUGGCUGGGACACGCUGCUGUGUGCUGACACCCAGCACUAUGCAGUGGGUCUGCUGGCCAGAGAGAUGCGCCAGGUCUUGAUCCCCUUCUGCUCCCGCAUUGCAUUCCACCUGCUCAAACCACUCAGCAGGGAGGAGCCAUGCUGGGAUCUGCCCUUCCUGGCUUUCCUUGUGGAGGUGAGCCUGACGGCCAGCGCUGCCUCGCUGAGCUGCCUCCCGCCUCUCUGCCCUCUCGUAGCCGCAGCUGCCUGGGACGGUGCCCGCGCCCUGCGCUGCUGCCUGGGCCCAGCCCUGGGCGGUUCCGGGCUCCUGCCGGCCGGCUCCCCUGUCACUGCCCUGUGCCUUUCAGCUCCUCGAGUGCCUGGACUUAAGUAA